AGAGUUUGAUCAUGGCUCAGGACGAACGCUGGCGGCGUGCCUAAUACAUGCAAGUCGAGCGGACAGAUGGGAGCUUGCUCCCUGAUGUUAGCGGCGGACGGGUGAGUAACACGUGGGUAACCUGCCUGUAAGACUGGGAUNAACUCCGGGAAACCGGGGCUAAUACCGGAUGGUUGUUUGAACCGCAUGGUUCAAACAUAAAAGGUGGCUUUGGCUACCACUUACAGAUGGACCCGCGGCGCAUUAGCUAGUUGGUGAGGUAACGGCUCACCAAGGCAACGAUGCGUAGCCGACCUGAGAGGGUGAUCGGCCACACUGGGACUGAGACACGGCCCAGACUCCUACGGGAGGCAGCAGUAGGGAAUCUUCCGCAAUGGACGAAAGUCUGACGGAGCAACGCCGCGUGAGUGAUGAAGGUUUUCGGAUCGUAAAGCUCUGUUGUUAGGGAAGAACAAGUACCGUUCAAAU
rnacentral:rRNA from 1 species